GCUGGCGUCACCACUCGAGGGACGAGGCGCCGCGCGGUCACGUGGAUAUCUGAAUUGCGCGUUAAUCACCCCAGUAAUUGAACACCGGUGUCAUUAGUUUGUGUAGUGGUCGUUAAUUGUACUUUGCAGUAGUGCAGGCAAAGGAAGCGUUAGACUCUCUAGCUUCCAUGGAGCUGACUUUGCCGUGGGUACUGAGCGCUGGCAGCAGGGAGUGUGGUGCUGGAGGCCUGGUGUUCCCUGUCUGAUUUACUCCGUGGCGACGCCGGACAGCAGUAGGAGCGAGCCGAAAAAAAUCCUAUCCCACAAACGAAAUGUCGUCUAAAACCUCCAAUAUCUCACCCUGACUUCACUCAACGUGGCGGUGAGUAGCAGCGUCCGCCGCCUGUCACGGGACUGUCUACCUCCACUAAUGACCGACUUGGUGACGUCUGACGCCUCCAUGUCCCUGAUUUCUGAAUACCACCACCUCCUCCUCCUCCUCCUCCUCCUCCUCCUCCUCCUCCUCCUCCUCCUCCUCCUCCUCCUACCUUGACAUUGCCACCUCACCCCCUCGCGUGCUUUCCUCAGCCUCCGCUCAUCACAUCAUGACCUGCCGUGCCUGUCUUCCUGAAUGGCAGCCGCGAUGUCUUCAUCUUCAACUUGCGCCUCAUUUCCUGCAAACUCAUACGUCUUCUUGAGCGGCGGGUUUGCAAGCGAGAUAAAAAGAAAAGGAAAAAAGGACAAAGGAAAAAUAAAGAAAAAGAAAAAAAACGGAGAGAGAAAACGGACAGUAGGAAGCGAACUGAAAUGCUGAAACGAUAUCGAAUGAAAAUAAAUAAAUAAAUACUACUUUUCAAAGACGGAUAUUCAAGUGCAAGAUGAGCCUUGAAAUUUUCAUAUUACUAAACAAAUACUUAAAGAAUAAAAAAAACUUUUGAUCAAUAAGGGCUUCAAUUGUAAACACCCAUUGAAAUCUUGCAAGGCCACAAAAAAAAAGGCUAAACACAAUGAAUAGGAUUAAAAUUGACGAGUCAUUGAAAAAGACAGAUAAAGAAUCACAAAAAAAAAAAAAAAUAAUAAUAAUAAUAAAUAAAUAAAUAAAUAAAUAAGAAAUAUUGAUCAGAUAUUCAACUGUAAGAAGCGGAGUGAAUAUUUUGUGAGGCGGGGUAGGCGGCCGGGAGCUCCAUCCAGUGCGGGGCCAGAACCUUACAAGAGAGGCCCGGGAAAAUGUUGAGGUCCCGCAGUGAAGUGGCUGGCCUUGGAGUGUCCCUGCGAGAGGCCGAGAUAAAAGCUUCCCUUCCACGCUGACUUACGCUGCUGCUAAACUUUUCUCGGCAGCGUUUUCCAGUAAUGCUGCGACACUCUGGCUGAAGGCGUAGGUACGAGUAUAAUACGAUGCGAUGCUAGUAUGAUACGAGUAUUUACGAAGCUUUUUUAUUUGUUUCCAUCCCGAAUUUUCCUAUUAAUUAUGUGACAUUGGUGCUUGAUGACAUACAGUAUAAUAGGAUACAAUGCUUAGUAUGAUAUUAGGAAGCGUUAUUUAUUUAUUUUUUUUCAUAUUGCGUUGUUUCAUGUCAAGAAUAAUACAUGGAUUUUCCUAUUAAUUCUGGGACACUGCGGCUUGAUAGUUUACCGUAUAAUACGAUAGAAUGUUUAGUAUAAUAUUUCGGAGGCUUUGUGUAUUUGUUUUACUGCAUUGUUUCAUGUAAGAAAUACCUAAGACAAUAAUUAAUAUCACGUAUAUUUUCCAGCAGACUUGUAGAAUGUUUAACGUUGUAACUGACCAAAAAUAUAAAGUACAGAAAUAACAUACAAGGAAAA